GAUAUUGCGCAAUGGGCGAAAGCCUGACGCAGCGACGCCGCGUGGGUGAUGAAGGCCUUCGGGUCGUAAAGCCCUGUCGAGGGGAACGAAACGGUCUCGACCUAACACGUCGAGUCCCUGACGGUACCCCUAAAGGAAGCACCGGCUAACUCCGUGCCAGCAGCCGCGGUAAUACGGAGGGUGCGAGCGUUGUCCGGAAUCAUUGGGCGUAAAGGGCGCGUAGGUGGCCCGGUCAGUCCGUGGUGAAAGCGCGGGGCUCAACCCUGCGUCGGCCAUGGAUACUGCCGCGGCUCGAGCACUGUAGAGGCAGGCGGAAUUCCGGGUGUAGCGGUGGAAUGCGUAGAGAUCCGGAAGAACACCGGUGGCGAAGGCGGCCUGCUGGGCAGUUUGGCUGACACUGAGGCGCGACAGCGUGGGGAGCAAAC
rnacentral:rRNA from 1 species